rnacentral:lncRNA from 1 species
CAUUUUUCUACUACUAGGCAUUUAGUUUUUAACUAAACAUAUUUUGGAAUAAUAAUAUGGAUUUCGACCUUUUAAAAGCUCUCACUACCAGCAAUGAGAAAAUAAGACCUCUUUAAAGAAGGUAUAGGCAGCAGUAGUUUAAAAGUAUUUUAGUCAUUGGUUUCCUUCAGCCAAGAAAAACAGGUACAAUAUCACUGAAUUAUGGACAAAAGCAGGAAAUACCCUGAAAUUUUCCCAAGAAUAAUAUAUUUCUUAAACACAUGCUGAUGUGAAGGUUGGACUUGUUCUAGGAAGGCUUUAGGAAAGAAAGGAGUCUUGAAUAGGAGAAUAAAUAUACAAGAGGUGGUAUAAAGACAUGAUGUUGGGGGUAAGAGAAAAAACAUGGCAAAUGUCGUGAGGUGAAGAACUCAGGCUCUUAACGUGGUGCCUGGCAGAGUUCCUCUGCCAUCAUUGCCUUUGAUGGUGACUGGAUUCUGGUAAGCUUACCACAAAUCCUUAAAUUCUAGGCAGAACACUUGCUUAAACAAAGAAUUUAAACAACCAUUUGCUAACGGUAAUCUCCUGCCUACUCUAAGUGUCUUUUCACCAAAUCGUUCCUCUUUUUCUAUGCUAUUUAGACUUUGCCAGCAUUAGAGUGGGCAGCCAGAUGUUAUUUCACAGAAUUCACACGGCUGGAAUCGCUGCUGUGAGAAUUCUUUUAAAGGGAUGUAGAACUUAUAGUCUUCCUAAAGCCCCAUGUCCCUGAACUUUUGUAGCAAUCUGGGGAAGAUAGAAUGCUGCAUUAUUAUAUUACAUUUGAUUUUCAUUUAAAUCAAUUCUUUUCUUAGAAAGUUAUCUAAAAAUUUUGAUUCAUUCUACGUUUUGCCCAAUAUGUUUCCCAUUAUUUAUCACAGUGUGUCUUCACAACACCCUGAGAGAUGGGUAGGCCAGAUGUUGCUACUUCCAUUUUCUUCAAAGAGAAGAAAACCGAUGAAGAGACUGAAGGCAUUGCCACCAGAACCCAGGUGUCUCAUCUUUUUGGCCCAGGGUGUGUUCCUCUGACACAUUAAACUGUCACCGUGGCUUUGACAGAUGGCAUUGGCAGAGAGUCCGUAGAGACAUGGGUUGUGUCUCUGCUAUUGGAUAUCUCAGGGAAGUUUUAUACUUCAGUUUUUCAAACCUGCCAUAAACCCUGAGUAUUUCUUUAAGCACAUAUCAAAGUAGUCUAUCUUAAAGUACCUCCAAGUUUUUACCAGAUUUGGAUUUUUUAAUUUUUAAUUUAUUUCAUUUUAUCUGACACAGAGUCUCAC